AUCGUCGCUGCUGCUUGGGGUUGACUGCCGGGUUGUCGCCGAACUGGUUCGGAGACCGCCGUUGUUUCGGUUCAGCCGUUCCUUCGGUUCGAGUCGUUGUGGUUGCUGAGAAAACGGUUUGGAGCUGAGGUUUUGGUAGCUGGGAUUUUGAUUGUUGAUUUCGGGUCGAUGCGGAAAGGACUCGGUGACGCGUUUGAGUUAUGGAAUUUGCGCUUUGAGGAUAUGGGCGCAGAAGUUACGAAGAGCUUAUUUAAUUGUUGUUGUGAUGCUCUGUAU